rnacentral:rRNA from 1 species
UACGAAGGGGGCUAGCGUUGCUCGGAAUCACUGGGCGUAAAGGGUGCGUAGGCGGGUCUUUAAGUCGGAGGUGAAAUCCUGGAGCUCAACUCCAGAACUGCCUUCGAUACUGAAGAGCUCGAGUCCGGGAGAGGUGAGUGGAACUGCGAGUGUAGAGGUGAAAUUCGUAGAUAUUCGCAAGAACACCAGUGGCGAAGGCGGCUCACUGGCCCGGUACUGACGCUGAGGUGCGAAAGCGUGGGGAGCAAACAGG